GCUGAAGGUAACGGCGGACCUGUUAGUGUCACGCCUUAGAGAUUUAUUUCUCAGGCUCUUUAGGAUUUUUUUGUUUUCUCUUCUUCUUUUUUUUUUUUGAGUCUUCAGAGAGGCAAGAGUAAUUUCUCCCUUCCACUGUUGGGAAUCUGAGCUUCUGUUACUCUCAGAGAACCCCCUUUCCCGCAUCUUUUCCUUUAUACCUUUACUCUUCUGCGGGCUAGACUCUCCCUCGGUCCUCCAAGACGUCUCGCCGUUUUAUUUGAUUUUAGUUCUGUUCUUUGAGAGAAUCCCAGCCCCGGAGUUAUCUUUCCUUCCCUCUUUAGCGGACCCCUGCUCGCCUCCAUCCUCGUCCUCGGUCUGAGGCAUGGAGCCUGACGGCUCUCGGGAAUCCCCACCGCGGGAGGGCUCUUCCUGUCCUGGACAGUGGCCUUUCUCCGCCCUCGGACAGGCCUUCUCCCAGAUCUUGCACCAGUUUGCCGGUCAGGAAUCCCGACGGGGCAAGGCCAGAAAUGCAGCUCUUCGGGACCUCAGUGCUGUACUAGAUGCCAAAGAAUGUGAUCAGUUGUUUGCGGGGAGUGACACCUCGCUCCGUGGAAUGCCCGAGAUGCUGGGGCAGGUGGCAAAAGCCCUGGGGAAGUAUGCAGCUCCUCCCGAGGGGCCGGAAGGGGGAGGUGAUCGUCACUCCGAAGUGGCCGAGAAAGCGGCAGCAGUUGGGUUACUCUUCCUUAAGCUGUUGAGGAAAGUUGAGACCGCUAAGAAUUCCUUGGUUUGCCCUGCAUGGAAGGCAGGCCUCCGUCACUUGGCAGGACCCAUCUAUAUUUUUGCCAUCACACACAACUUGGAGCAACCAUGGACCAGCCCAAAAUCUCAGGGCGUCGCUGGACAGGUGCUCGCCUUACUGCUUCAGGUUACUGAGUGUGGUUCUGUGGCUGGAUUCCUCCACGGAGAAAAUGAAGAUGAGAAAGGGAGAUUUACUGCGGUCAUGGGGCUUCUCAAACCCGAUUUGAAUAAGGACUCCUGGAAGAGUAACCCAGCCACCAAACAUGUUUUCUCAUGGACUCUGCAAAAGGUCACUCGACCCUGGCUGAGCCAACAUCUGGAAAGGGUACUUCCCCCGUCAUUGCUCAUCUCAGAUGACUAUCAAACCGAGAACAAAAUCCUGGGUGUCCACUGCCUCCAUCACAUUGUGCUAAAUGUGCCAGCUGCUGAUCUGCUGCAGUACAACAGGGCCCAAGUCCUAUACCAUGCCCUUUUCAACCACCUGUACACACGGGAGCACCACCUCAUUCAGGCUGUGCUCCUGUGUCUGCUGGAUUUAUUCCCCAUCCUGGAGAAAGCCCUGCACUGGAAGGGAGAUGCAGCCCGACCCACCACACAUUGUGACGAGGUCCUGCAGCUGAUUCUGACGCACAUGGAGCCCGAGCACCGCCUUCUCUUACGCAGGACUUACGCAAGAAACCUACCGGCUUUCGUGAAGAGGUUGGGGAUCUUAACUGUCCGGCACUUGAAGAGGCUGGAUCGAGUCAUCAUUGGUUAUCUGGAGGUUUAUGAUGGACCCGAGGAGGAGGCUAGAUUGAAGAUAUUGGAAGCCCUAAAACUUCUCAUGCAGUAUACUUGGCCCAGAGUUCCCUGUAGACUUGUGGUCUUACUGAAGGCUCUCUUGAAACUGAUAUGUGAUGUAGCAAGGGAUUCAAGCCUCACACCCGAAUCUGUUAAGAGUGCCUUGUUAGAAGAGGCCACAGACUGCCUGAUUCUCCUGGACCGCUGCUCUGAAGGACAGGUGAAGGGUCUCCUGGCUAAAAUUCCCCAAAGCUGUGAAGACAGUAAGGUGGGGAACUGUAUCCGAAGAGUGCAGCAGGUUUCUGAAGGAGCUCCCUACAAUGCAACUUAAGACUUGUAUUACUUUCCUGAAGAGGAAAAGAUUUUCUUUCUGUUCCAAUUGUUUUAAAUGGAAUCAUUUCAGGAAAAAGAUCUCAUCGGGCUGGUGGCGCAGUGGUUAAGAGUCCGCCUGCCAAUGCAGGGGACACGGGUUCGAGCCCUGGUCUGGGAGGAUCCUACAUGCAGCAGAGCGGCUGGGCCCGUGCGCUGCAACUACUGAGCCUACGCUCUAGAGCCUGCAAGCCACGACUACUGAAGUCUGUGAGCCCAGGGCCCGUGCUCCACAAUGGGAGAAGCCACCGCAAUGAGAAGCCUGUACACCGCGACAAAGAGUAGCCACCCACUUACCACAACUAGAGAAAGCCCGUGCACAGCAACGAAGACACAACACAGCCAAAAAUAAAUAAAUAACAUCUGAAGAGCCACUGUCUGCCUCCUGCUGUUCCAGGGCCUUGUCGAAGGCAUGGAUGGGGAAGUUGUAGAUGUCGCCAUACUAAAGAACAUAAACGUGGGUCAGCUUUAACCACAUUUGGAUCUUAUGCUUGAAGUCCACUGUCCAACAAGUAUAUUAUUUUCCUCAGUGAUCAAACAAGAAUAAUUAGUAAUAUUACUAUAUUAUUGUCAGGCCUAGAGCCAGCAGUGUCUUUCAAAAACCCAUAUUUGACAUUUAAAUAAUCAGCGAUUAAUACCAAACAGGCACCUUCUAUGAAGGAUGGAUACCAGAUCACUUAAAACUUAAUAGUCUAUAAAACCCAUGGAUUGGAACAAAUGUAAUUUUGCUGAUAAAGGGGAAAUAGUAGGAAAAAGUAAGUUUUAUUCAUGUUGUUUCUGUAAAUGACAUAAAUUUUUCAAAAGACAAUAAAAAUUCAUUUUAAAGAACCUUAAAAGUCUAGGAUGAAUAGGCAGGAGGAUCGAAACUGUACGGCUUUUAUAGAGAGAUCUGGAGUUGUUGUGUUUGGGAGGGGGAGUUGGGAAUAAUGGCAAAAAAGGAAAGGUCUCUCUACUGAAGUAUCAAGAGUAAAGUAUUUUAUGUGCUUGAUCAGGAAACUAAAAUGAGGAAGCCAGGGCCUAUAUGAUAUCUAUUUUAUUCCAGUAAUAAAAUCAAGGUGAAGAUCUUUCUAGCAUCCUUAAAAAUAAAACACAUUUCCCACUAUUCCUACAUUUCCUAGCAUAUUACCACCUAAAAAAUAAAAUCUGUACCCCAAAGUUCCUAGCUUUCUCACCGUAUCUUGUUUCAGUCUCUCUAGCAAUUCCUUUUCGAUGGCGUUGUCCAGCUGAGCAGCUAUUAAUGCCUUUUCCUGUAAGAGAAAAAGAGCAAACCCAUUUACUUCAUUAGACUCAUUUUUCAGCCUGUAGA